rnacentral:misc_RNA from 1 species
AAACAUAAUAAUCAAAAUUUUCAAUACCCAAAUUGAAACUUAUACAGAACAAUCCAUUACAGGAAUGUAAUUGUUCAAUUUUUGAAGAUGUAGAUUUAGCAAUAUUUUUGAGUGUUGAAGGAAUCAUACCCUUUUGAUUUUUGGGUAUCCCAUUGAGAGGGAUAAAGUCGACAUAGUUAUUACCAUAGACCCACCAACAGAAGAAUAGUCCGUCAACUUUGCCGGAAGUGAGUUUUCUACGGCAGUGAAGUUGCCGGAAUGUACGGCUUGAGAUGAUCGAAAACCAGUCUUUACAAACGGCUUGGAAUCGGAGAAGGGAUUUUGGAGGUAGCCAUAGGAGAAUCUCCGAUAAAAGAUCUGCGUUGCCGGCGACUCCCUGUAAGGAUGCCGGAAAAACUGCUGGCUCGUCACCGGCGACUCCCUGUGAGGGUAAAACUGCUGGCUGGUUGCCGGAAACUCCCUGUAAAUAUGCCGGAGAAUCUGCUGGCUGGUCACCGGGAAGUUCCUGUAAGAAUGUUACCGACAUUGACGCGAAAGGAUAAGAAGGGCAAAU